rnacentral:misc_RNA from 1 species
GGGGGUGGUUUGGGUGUGGGUGGUGGGUUUGAGGGGGAGAGAGAAGGGGAGUGAACUUGUGUGCCAGAUGCUAUCUAAACUCAUUGCCAGGCUUUCCUGAGAAAGAUAUCUUUGAUUGACUAUAGAUCUUUAACCAUCUCAUUGCUAGGCAAGAUAUCUUUUAUUGUAACUAUAGAUCUUUAACCAUCUCAAAGCUCUCAUUUAUUGCUCUAUAUGUUAAAUAUGCGCCCG